rnacentral:rRNA from 1 species
GACUGACAGGAUGAUCAACCCCCUUGGGACUGAUACCCGGCCCAUACUCCU